UCCCGUUGAUCCUGCGGGAGGUUGCUGCUAUCAGGGUUCGAUUUAACCAUGCAAGUCCAGGCAUUAACCGGCAGACUGCUCAGUAACACGUAGUUAACCUAACUUCAGGUCUGGAAUAACCUUGGGAAACUGAGGGUAAUACCGGAUAGAAGAAUUCAACUGGAAAUUGUGUUUUCUUUGAAAGAUUACGCCUGAAGAUGGGACUGCGGCGGAUUAGGUUGUUGGUGGGGUAAAGGCCCACCAAGCCCGAGAUCCGUAGGGGCCUUGAAAGAGGGAGCCCCGAGAAGGACACUGAGACACUGGUCCUAGCCCUACGGGGUGCAGCAGGUGCGAAACCUUUACAAUGCACGCAAGUGUGAUAAGGGAACCCUGAGUGCUCUGCUUUAGCAGGGCUUUUGCCAAGCGUAAAUAGUUUGGCGAAUAAGUGGUGGGUAAGACUGGUGCCAGCCGCCGCGGUAACACCAGCGCCACGAGUGGGAGCCGAUUUUAUUUGGCCUAAAGCGUCCGUAGCCUGCCUGAUAAAUCCUUUGUGAAAUUAUUGGGCUUCACUCAAUAACGUGCAGAAGACACUGUCAGGCUCGGGACCGGGAGAGGUUAGAAGUAUUUGAAGGGGAGCGGUAAAAUGCUAUAAUCCUUUGAGGACUACCAGUGGCGGAGGCGUCUAACCAGAACGGAUCCGACGGUGAGGGACGAAAGCUAGGGGAGCGAUCCGGAUUAGAUACCCGAGUAGUCCUAGCUGUAAACGCUGCGAGCCAGGUGUUGCGCAUUCUACGAGAAUGCGCAGUGUCGAAGAGAAGUCGUUAAGCUCGCCGCCUGGGAAGUACGGUCGCAAGACUGAAACUUAAAGGAAUUGGCGGGGGAGCACUACAAGGGGUGCGGCGUGCGGUUUAAUCUAACUUAACGCAGAGAAUCUCACCAGAAGCGACGGCAGAAUGAAGGUCAGUCUGAAGGGCUUACCAGACAAGCCGAGAGGUGGUGCAUGGCCGUCGUCAGCUCGUGCCGUAAGGUGUCCUGUUAAGUCAGGCAACGAGCGAGACCUGCACCUAUAAUUGCUAGCGACCAGAAAUGGGAUCGAGCACAUUAUGGGAACUGCCCUGGAAACAGGGAGGAAGGUGCAGGCUACGGUAGGUCUGUAUGCCCCGAAUCUUCUGGGCAACACGCGCGCAACAAUGGUAUGGACAAUGGGCUACAACUCCGAAAGGAGAAGUUAAUCCUCGAAACCAUAUCUUAGUUCAGAUUGAGGGCUGUAAUUCGCUCUCAUGACGAUGGAAUCCCUAGUAAUCGGACGUCAACAUCGUCCGGUGAAUAUGUCCCUGCUCCUUGCACACACCGCCCGUCAAACCACUCGAGCAGGGCUUUGGUGAGCAUUAGCCUAUUAGCUAAUGCGAAUCUAAGCUCAGUGAGAUGGGUUAAGUCGUCACAAGGUA
rnacentral:rRNA from 1 species